UACGUAGGGGGCAAGCGUUGUCCGGAAUCAUUGGGCGUAAAGCGCGUGUAGGCGGGUCGGUAAGUCCGCUCUGAAAGCCCGGGGCUCAACCCCGGGAGGCGGGUGGAUACUGUCGACCUCGAGUCCGGAAGAGGCGAGUGGAAUUCCACGUGUAGCGGUGAAAUGCGUAGAGAUGUGGAGGAACACCAGUGGCGAAGGCGACUCUUUGGCCUGUAACUGACACUGAGGCGCGAAAGCGUGGGGAGCAAACAGG
rnacentral:rRNA from 1 species